rnacentral:rRNA from 1 species
AUUGAACGCUGGCGGCAGGCCUAACACAUGCAAGUCGAACGAGUGGCGGACGGGUGAGUAAUGUCUGGGAAACUGCCUGAUGGAGGGGGAUAACUACUGGAAACGGUAGCUAAUACCGCAUACCAUCGGAUGUGCCCAGAUGGGAUUAGCUAGUAGGUGGGGAAAAGGCUCACUUAGGCGACGAUCCCUAGCUGGGCUGGGAGGAUGACACGCCUCACUGGACCUGAGACCCGGUCCAGACUCCUACGGGAGGCAGCAGUGGGGAAUAUUGCACAAUGGGCGCAAGCCUGAUGCAGCCAUGCCGCGUGUAUGCAGAAGGCCUGCGGGUUGUAAAGUACUUUCAGCGGGGAGGCGUUACCCGCAGAAGAAGCACCGGCUAACUCCGUGCCAGCAGCCGCGGUAAUAC